rnacentral:rRNA from 1 species
CCUACGGGAGGCAGCAGUAAGGAAUAUUGGUCAAUGGAGGCAACUCUGAACCAGCCAUGCCGCGUGCAGGAAGACAGCCCUCUGGGUCGUAAACUGCUUUUAUUCGGGAAUAAACCUUAUUACGUGUAAUAAGCUGAAUGUACCGAAGGAAUAAGGAUCGGCUAACUCCGUGCCAGCAGCCGCGGUAAUACGGAGGAUCCAAGCGUUAUCCGGAUUUAUUGGGUUUAAAGGGUGCGUAGGCGGCUUAUUAAGUCAGGGGUGAAAGACGGUGGCUCAACCAUCGCAGUGCCUUUGAUACUGAUGAGCUUGAAUGAACUAGAGGUAGGCGGAAUGUGACAAGUAGCGGUGAAAUGCAUAGAUAUGUCACAGAACACCGAUUGCGAAGGCAGCUUACUAUGGUUUUAUUGACGCUGAGGCACGAAAGCGUGGGGAUCAAACAGGAUUAGAUACCCUGGUAGUCCACGCCCUAAACGAUGAGUACUCGCUGUUAGCGAUAUACAGUUAGCGGCUAAGCGAAAGCGUUAAGUAUUCCACCUGGGGAGUACGCCCGCAAGGGUGAAACUCAAAGGAAUUGACGG